rnacentral:rRNA from 1 species
AAGCUUGCUUGUUGGGGUUGUAGGACACUCUAUACGGAGUUACAAAGGACGACAUUAGACGAAUCAUCUGGAAAGAUGAAUCAAAGAAGGUAAUAAUCCUGUAGUCGAAAAUGUUGUCUCUCUUGAGUGGAUCCUGAGUACGACGGAGCACGUGAAAUUCCGUCGGAAUCUGGGAGGACCAUCUCCUAAGGCUAAAUACUCUCUAGUGACCGAUAGUGAACCAGUACCGUGAGGGAAAGGUGAAAAGCACCCCGGAAGGGGAGUGAAAUAGAACCUGAAACCGUGUGCUUACAAGUAGUCAGAGCCCGUUAAUGGGUGAUGGCGUGCCUUUUGUAGAAUGAACCGGCGAGUUACGAUUUGAUGCAAGGUUAAGCAGUAAAUGUGGAGCCGUAGCGAAAGCGAGUCUGAAUAGGGCGUUUAGUAUUUGGUCGUAGACCCGAAACCAGGUGAUCUACCCUUGGUCAGGUUGAAGUUCAGGUAACACUGAAUGGAGGACCGAACCGACUUACGUUGAAAAGUGAGCGGAUGAACUGAGGGUAGCGGAGAAAUUCCAAUCGAACCUGGAGAUAGCUGGUUCUCUCCGAAAUAGCUUUAGGGCUAGCCUCAAGUGAUGAUUAUUGGAGGUAGAGCACUGUUUGGACGAGGGGCCCCUCUCGGGUUACCGAAUUCAGACAAACUCCGAAUGCCAAUUAAUUUAACUUGGGAGUCAGAACAUGGGUGAUAAGGUCCGUGUUCGAAAGGGAAACAGCCCAGACCACCAGCUAAGGUCCCAAAAUAUAUGUUAAGUGGAAAAGGAUGUGGCGUUGCCCAGACAACUAGGAUGUUGGCUUAGAAGCAGCCAUCAUUUAAAGAGUGCGUAAUAGCUCACUAGUCGAGUGACACUGCGCCGAAAAUGUACCGGGGCUAAACAUAUUACCGAAGCUGUGGAUUGUCCUUUGGACAAUGGUAGGAGAGCGUUCUAAGGGCGUUGAAGCAUGAUCGUAAGGACAUGUGGAGCGCUUAGAAGUGAGAAUGCCGGUGUGAGUAGCGAAAGACGGGUGAGAAUCCCGUCCACCGAUUGACUAAGGUUUCCAGAGGAAGGCUCGUCCGCUCUGGGUUAGUCGGGUCCUAAGCUGAGGCCGACAGGCGUAGGCGAUGGAUAACAGGUUGAUAUUCCUGUACCACCUAUAAUCGUUUUAAUCGAUGGGGGGACGCAGUAGGAUAGGCGAAGCGUGCGAUUGGAUUGCACGUCUAAGCAGUAAGGCUGAGUAUUAGGCAAAUCCGGUACUCGUUAAGGCUGAGCUGUGAUGGGGAGAAGACAUUGUGUCUUCGAGUCGUUGAUUUCACACUGCCGAGAAAAGCCUCUAGAUAGAAAAUAGGUGCCCGUACCGCAAACCGACACAGGUAGUCAAGAUGAGAAUUCUAAGGUGAGCGAGCGAACUCUCGUUAAGGAACUCGGCAAAAUGACCCCGUAACUUCGGGAGAAGGGGUGCUCUUUAGGGUUAACGCCCAGAAGAGCCGCAGUGAAUAGGCCCAAGCGACUGUUUAUCAAAAACACAGGUCUCUGCUAAACCGUAAGGUGAUGUAUAGGGGCUGACGCCUGCCCGGUGCUGGAAGGUUAAGAGGAGUGGUUAGCUUCUGCGAAGCUACGAAUCGAAGCCCCAGUAAACGGCGGCCGUAACUAUAACGGUCCUAAGGUAGCGAAAUUCCUUGUCGGGUAAGUUCCGACCCGCACGAAAGGCGUAACGAUUUGGGCACUGUCUCAACGAGAGACUCGGUGAAAUCAUAGUACCUGUGAAGAUGCAGGUUACCCGCGACAGGACGGAAAGACCCCGUGGAGCUUUACUGUAGCCUGAUAUUGAAAUUCGGCACAGCUUGUACAGGAUAGGUAGGAGCCUUUGAAACGUGAGCGCUAGCUUACGUGGAGGCGCUGGUGGGAUACUACCCUAGCUGUGUUGGCUUUCUAACCCGCACCACUUA